rnacentral:rRNA from 1 species
GAUGAACGCUGGCGGCGUGCCUAAUACAUGCAAGUCGAGCGAACGGACGAGAAGCUUGCUUCACUGAUGUUAGCGGCGGACGGGUGAGUAAAACGUGGAGAACCUACCUAUAAGACUGGGAUAACUUCGUGAAACCGUAGCUAAUACCGGAUAAUAUUUUGAACCGCAUGGUUCAAAAGUGAAAGACGGUGUGGCUGUCACUUAUAGAUGGAUCCGCGCUGCAUUAGCUAGUUGGUAAGGUAACGGCUUACCAAGGCAACGAUGCAUAGCCGACCUGAGAGGGUGAUCGGCCACACUGGAACUGAGACACGGUCCAGACUCCUACGGGAGGCAGCAGUAGGGAAUCUUCCGCAAUGGGCGAAAGCCUGACGGAGCAACGCCGCGUGAGUGAUGAAGGUCUUCGGAUCGUAAAACUCUGUUAUUAGGGAAGAACAUAUGUGUAAGUAACUGUGCACAUCUUGACGGUACCUAAUCAGAAAGCCACGGCUAACUACGUG